rnacentral:rRNA from 1 species
GACGAACGCUGGCGGCGUGCUUAACACAUGCAAGUCGAACGGAAAGGCCCUGCUUUUGUGGGGUGCUCGAGUGGCGAACGGGUGAGUAACACGUGAGUAACCUGCCCUUGAUUUUGGGCUAACUUCAGGAAAAUGGGGCUUAUACCGGAUAGGAGCUCCUGCUGCAAGCUGUGGGUUGGAAAGUUUCGGCGGUUGGGGAUGGACUCGCGGCUUAUCAGCUUGUUGGUGGGGUCGUGUCUUACCAAGGCUUUGACGGGUAGCCGGCCUGAGAGGGUGAGCGGCCACAGUGGGACUGAGAUACGGCCCAGACUCCUACGGCAGGCAGCAGUGGGGAAGAUUGCACAAUGGGCGGAAGCCUGAUGCAGCAACGCCGCGUGCGGGAUGACGGCCUUCGGGUUGUAAACCGCUUUCGCCUGUGACGAAGCGUGAGUGACGGUAAUGGGUAAAGAAGCACCGGCUAACUACGUG